AUGCAUGUCUAAGUUCACACCCUCGUACGGUGAAACCGCGAAUGGCUCAUUAAAUCAGUCGAGGUUCCUUAGAUGAUCCAAAUUUACUUGGAUAACUGUGGUAAUUCUAGAGCUAAUACAUGCCCACCAGCUCCGAUCCUUCGGGGAAAGAGCGCUUUUAUUAGUUCAAAACCAGUCGGGUUUCUGCCCGUCCUUUGGUGACUCUGGAUAACUUUGUGCCGAUCGCAUGGCCUCGAGCCGGCGACGCAUCUUUCAAAUGUCUGCCCUAUCAAAUGUCGAUGGUACGUGAUCUGCCUACCAUGUUAGCAACGGGUAACGGGGAAUCAGGGUUCGAUUCCGGAGAGGGAGCAUGAGAAACGGCUACCACA
rnacentral:rRNA from 1 species